GAUCUAGUGGAAACAUUUCUACACAACCAGAAUAUUCAAACUGGAGUGAGAAAAUGCCUCUGUAACAAU
rnacentral:pre_miRNA from 1 species